rnacentral:rRNA from 1 species
UAGGGAAUCUUCGGCAAUGGGGGGAACCCUGACCGAGCAACGCCGCGUGAGUGAAGAAGGUUUUCGGAUCGUAAAGCUCUGUUGUUAAGGAAGAACGAGUGUGAGAAUGGAAAGUUCAUGCUGUGACGGUACUUAACCAGAAAGGGACGGCUAACUACGUGCCAGCAGCCGCGGUAAUACGUAGGUCCCGAGCGUUGUCCGGAUUUAUUGGGCGUAAAGCGAGCGCAGGCGGUUAGAAAAGUCUGAAGUGAAAGGCAGUGGCUCAACCAUUGUAGGCUUUGGAAACUGUUUAACUUGAGUGCAGAAGGGGAGAGUGGAAUUCCAUGUGUAGCGGUGACAUGCGUAGAUAUAUGGAGGAACACCGGUGGCGAAAGCGGCUCUCUGGUCUGUAACUGACGCUGAGGAUCGAAAGCGUGGGGAGCGAACAGG